AGCGGGGUAGAGAAGUAGUAUCUCGUGGGUCCCAUAAGCCCAAGACCCAGGUGCAAGUCCUGGCCCCGCGACCA
rnacentral:tRNA from 1 species